ensembl:lncRNA
GUCACAACAGAGGUUUACAGAUAAUAAAUGUAUUUUUAAAGGAGGUAAUAGGCGGAGCUUAUUGCCCCUUCCAGAUUCCCCGUCCCCUCUGGUGUGCCAUGUCUGGGCAGCACAGUCCCUUCUGCAGGGGAAGCAGCUUCGGAGGAGAAAUGAGCAGUGGGACCUGCUUUGAGCUGUUUCUCUCCUUUUCCACUGCAUGCACUCAUGGGGUUGAUGAAAGUAUCCUGCAAAAUCUGCCUUAAAAGCAUAGGGGGAGACAAGCAGGUUUCUGGGCACCUCUCACCUCCACGUUCGUCACCUGAAGACUGUGCAGCCCUGAGCAGUGAAACCCACAGGUAGGAUGGGUACAGGAGGCAUGGGAAUUAGGAAUAGCUCAGGAGAGGGCAAGGACUGAAGGUGGCUUCCAUCCUGCCUGCAGAGCUGUCAUCCAUUGGAUUUUCCUCCCCAUCACCUGCUGUUAGAAACAGGAGCCUUGUACAUAGCUCCACAUCCCGCAUGUCCCUCUGGCCCUUUUGUUUUUUAAUCUGCAUUGGCUAGUGCAUUGUAAGGUCUUGUGGUCUGUGCUUCUGUUCCUUCUGUCCCUGUACAAGCUGGAGAAUAUACUGGUGUGUUGUGAUGUGUCUGUUCCUGUAAGCGAGGUGUCUGUUCUACUUGCCCUUCCUUUGGCUUUUCUGAGUCUGCUUCUGCCUUUCCGCAGGGUGUCAUCUACCACAAAAUCCUCAUUCUGACCAUAGUGCCCCAUGAGGCAAGCUCAUGAGGGAUUUAAAUAGUAGAAACAUUUCCUUUUGCCCAGCAACAGGAGAAAGGGUGCUGCCUCAAGCCCUGAUUGUUUCCAUGCUGCAUGGCACAGCCCCCAGUGACUGUACCACUGGGCUUCAUAUCCAACUGUGCAGCUGUAAGACAUCUCUCCAGUUUGUAAAGCAAAUUAUGGCCUAAAGCCCCAAACUUUGCAGAUUUCCACGUGCCUUAACGCUUGAUCAGAUGGGAGUCCUGCCUGACUCAGCAUCCCUGAAAGGCUGGUCUUUUUGUCCGCUUAUUAUUGGAGCCUCUUAUUAUUGAAGGCACUUAGCCCAGCGCCUUGUCAUUCAGCCCAACUUCAGUGGAAGCGGUACAUCUCAUACCAUCGCAGCUCAAAGACCGUCAACAGCCUCCCCAACCUGCUGUGAGCAUCUUUGUCCAAGUUAAGGUCAUGACUUUGAUCAACAUGAAGUCAAAACGAGUCACAGGUCAAGGCAGGAAAGGCAAUGAAAGGUACAGUCUGCAUGCACAACUGGAAGAGCAAAGUCUGCCAUGAUGGUAGGAAGCUGUGCACAAUGGGGAUAGUUUUGAUGUUGGCUGCCAGCUGUUGUGUGUCUAGCUUUUCUCUUGAGUACCCUGGCACAGUGCACCUUUGCCUCCUCUGGGCAGGUGAGGCAGGACUAGGGAGAAAAACCUGCCUUGUUCUCCUCUGUAAUGAAAAACCCCAGCUUCCCCCAGUGAGGCGCACUCGUCGCUUCAGGCAGCCACAUGGCCUUAUGCAAGUGUGCAUCAAGUGUAGGACGUGCCCCGGCAGCGCUGGCUGGGACUGCCUUCCUAAAUCUUUAGCUUCAGGGUGUUCCAAAGUGAGUUGUUGUCUUUUUUUUUUUUUCCCUCUUAUUUUCAUGGCUGGGUGAAACACCAGGUUUAACCCCUCUUGCUCUGGUAGGGAAUGAUGGUCCUGUGGCAUCUCAUGAGGCUUCGAGCAGCUCCUGCCUGGCUCUUGAUGGUCACAGUGGAGCCAGGAACCCUCCAGCCUUUGCUUCUCACCACUUCCAUGGCUUUCUCGCGCAUCUGUACACAGCAGAGGUUUGUUUGGGGGUUUCCUUGGAUAUUUCAGCUUCAAGAGUUUUCACGCUGGCAGAGUUUGCUUCUCCUUGUCCAGCUGGCUGGAGGAAAUGGGGCUGCACUGGAAAGCCCCAGCACACUUGCCAACUCUUUUGGGUGCUUUCUUCCCAAAGCCAGCUGCCCUUUAGCACCAAUGUACUCAGCAAGGGCUGCUAGUGCCCAGCGUGCUCCCUCCUGCAGAGGCAUCGCCUGUGUGUUUGCUGGCUGGGAGCAGGGGAUGAACAAUGGACCUUGCUCUAGGGUUAUCGCUGUGCUUUUGCUGGCCCCUCCGUAAAACCGUUUAUUUUGUGGUUUACUUCUGUUUUUGGGUUUUUUUUUUUGUUUUUUUUUUUGCAAACACUGCAAUGCCCUUAGCACUACAUCAAGGACUUGCCAUGCUCUGGGUGCCCCCAUUCUCACCCACCCCACGAGAGCAAAGCCCAGCCCUGGUGCUGUGUCCACUUGCCCCCGUGGACAUUUUGGUGACCUGCAGGAUGUGGGCUUGAUGUCUGGACUAACAGCAGUGUGGCUCCUGACUUUGUUUACAGCACCCAAAUCGGGGCCUGGAAAACAACUCAGCUCUGAGUGCGGGCAGCAGACGGCUCGCAGUAGGCCUAUCUGAGCCCAGGCAGUGAGCCGCUCUGUCCCACCUUCAUUGCCACUGCAGGGCACAGGCCUCCUCAAGAAAGUCAGUGCAACUCCUGAGUGCCUCUUCAGUGUCAGAAUCUCCUUCCAUGACAUCUGUCCUCAAACUUCUUCCUCACUGACCUUCCAUCUCUGGCUGCCAAGAGCAGCACAGUUGCGAGGCACACUGUGAGCAGAUAGUGUCUGUUUUGCUAAGGAAUUAAGCUUUUGUUGUUGUUGUUGUUGUUUUUGUGUACGUAGUGAGGCAUGGCAUGUAAGAUGAUCUGUUUCCCAGAGCAAGUUUUCAGGUAGCCAAAUAUUUGUGUUCAAAGGGGAAGAUGUCUGAGCUGACGCCACAUACGAGCACCAAGGUGGAGGCUUGAGUUUUGGGGUAACUAACAAGACAUUAGGGUCUGUGGCUGAAAGCAGGUGCUUAAUUCAGUGCAGAAGUCAGGCCCAGAGCAAUGCUUUGGGUCAUGCUUUGGCCUUAAAUGAGUAUUUAAGGCACAGCUGGGAAGGGUGGAAGAGCUGCACCUCGCAGAACUGGCCUCACAGGAGCUUGUAAGAUGUAGGUGAAGAAAUUGGUAAAGCUGAACUCUCACAUUUUUCCUUUUUAUUUUUUCUUGUUUGACAUCUGUUCCUUGUAAGUGAUUUAUAUUCCCUUAAAAUUUUGUAUCUUAAGUAUUUGAAUGUGUGUCUUAAAAAUAUGACCCGUCCUUUCAAAAUGUGAAUUUCUGAUCGUUGAUAUAUAAAAGAAAAAAGUAAAAAAAAAAAAAAGUA